GUGGUUAGGGUUUCUAGGGUUGUAGGGUUUCUUCUUGAAAUUCUUACGGAAGGGUCGGUUCUGAUUUUUCUUAGGAGGAGCCUCUACAUUAUAUGCAUUAUUUUUGGAUCCAGUAGAGGUAUUAUUUCUGAGCCUAUGCUGCUCUUCAAUCCUAAUGGAGUUUAAGACUUGGGUUAGGGUGAGAACUCCUUGGGUAUGGCUCAGGGUCUUGGCAAAAUCAGACCAGGAAGUAGGUAGUUUAUCUAUCAGACAGGCUACCUGGAAUGAUUCAUCCAAAUUGGUUCCAUUAGCCCUAAGCUGGUGGAUCAGGGUUUCAAAUUCAUGAAUUUGGUCAUUCAUAGGCUUUGAGUCCACCAUCCUAAACUUAUUGAAAUCG
rnacentral:lncRNA from 1 species